CGGCCACUUGGGUUCCGCUAGAGGGCGAAAUCUAUCCCCGGCUGCUAAUUCUAAACAUUUAUUUAAGGUAGAAUCAGGUUAAAGGAAUGCAUCUUGAGCAAGGACCGAAUGGUCCACAGUAAUCUGGAGCAAAGGUUGGGACAUGCAUGGAACCUACUGAAGCACCUGGAUUCUACGGAGGAGCCUGGCAAUGGUUGUGCACUUGCAGUCAGUAUGGUGGGGGAUCUCCUAAAGAUGUUGUAGUCUCCAGACAGCAGGAUGUAAAUUUAAGCAUACCAUGCCUACAUUCCUAAGCGUUGGAGAAAGUCACACAGACCAGAAAAACCAAGCAUUAAAAUCUUCGAGCACAUCGUCCAAAGGCCACAAGCUGGUUUCCCUGGAUGACUUGACAGAGCCAAAAGAAUCCAGAUCCCAAACAAGAGGGCACUAGUCUUAAGCCAGAAGGAUCUCAUUCCAAAGAAAGCCACCCGUCAAUAAAGGGAAACAAAACUGAUGGAAACACA